rnacentral:rRNA from 1 species
GAUGAGCGCUAGCGGCAGGCCUAAUACAUGCAAGUCGAGGGGUAACACAGGUAGCAAUACUGGGUGACGACCGGCGCACGGGUGCGUAACACGUAUAUAAUAUGCCCUUAUCAGGAGGAUAGCCCGGAGAAAUUCGGAUUAAUACUCCAUAACAUUGCUUUGUGGCAUCACAGAGCAAUUAAAGUUCCGACGGAUAAGGAUGAAUAUGUGACUGAUUAGCUAGUUGGUGAGGUAACGGCUCACCAAGGCGACGAUCAGUAGGGGUACUGAUAGCUUAAACCCCCACACUGGUACUGAGACACGGACCAGACUCCUACGGGAGGCAGCAGUAAGGAAUAUUGGACAAUGGAGGCAACUCUGAUCCAGCCAUGCCGCGUGCAGGAAGAAGGCGCUACGCGUUGUAAACUGCUUUUAUAACAGAGAAAAACCCGGUACGUGUACUGGGUUGAUAGUAUGUUAAGAAUAAGCAUCGGCUAACUUCGUGCCAGCAGCCGCCGUAAAAC